rnacentral:lncRNA from 1 species
AAUCGAUAUCUAUAUUUGUAUACAUAUAAGAGAUGCUUUUUGCUUUGUCUUUUCAUUUUAAGCCGGAUCUACAAUGUAUUGGUAAGGAUCUCUCCCCUGCCUCUUUGGAGGGCUGACAGUUGCUUGCUUGUCUAGCUCAGCCCCUACUGAGCUUUCCGGUAGGCAUCAGUUUAUUAUCAAUUCCCACUUACUUCAGUAAAAACUUCUUC